GAUCUUCUUGAGCAGCUCCUGCUUAUUUUGAUCUUCUCUGUUGGAUGUUGCUUCACUGACUGGUUAUAGUUACUUCUCAUUCCAGCUUUAAGGUCAGGCAACACGGUUCAGCUACUGCUAUGCACUUGGAGAAACACCUGGAGGCAACACCCUAGGACCAGAAGGAAUCUUGAUUCUGCGGCUUGCUACACCCAGACUGGUAUCUUAUCUCUGGCUGCCAGGCUCUCACCUCCUCUUGCCAACUCACUGGACUCACAGUGAGACUCUCUAGCGUUUUUAGCCUCAUUUCUUUUAAACUCAGUCUCUUCAUUUGUCUACAGCAGAGGCAAACCUAUGUGACUGUCGAAAGAAGCCAUUGCCAAGGAAAAAGAUUUGACCCCACCCCCACCCCAGAGCUGAUUGGCUUGCUUUUAUACAGACCCAAGGGGCAUGGCUGAUCUUCUCAGUCAAUCACUACAUCAGGGAUUCUUAAUCUGAGAGUCCAAAGAUUCCUAAGGGAAUCAGAACAGGAGGACAUGCUUAAAGAAGUACUCAGAUUAGUUUCAACGUUUCUUCAUGGUUUUACACAGUCAGCAUCUGAAAUUGUUUUUUUUUAGGUAACCAUAAGACUACUUCUAUAGAAAAUGGAAGAUCAGCAUUAUCAUUCCCAUUCUGCGGAUGAAGAAACAGACAUAGCUCUAUCUCUAUGGCUUGCCUGAAGCUUGUUGGCGCGGCUACUGACUUAAGUGACCUUGGAUAUGUUCAUGUCUCAAAGAGUCUAUAACAUGAUGACGCGAAAGCUGCUUCUUCUCCUGAAGGGGAUGCUGGGAUGACAUUUAUGAAAUGCUUGAACUCUAAGGAUGAAAAAGCCUUUGUUAUCUUUUCUGUAGGAAAAAAAAAGUAUUAUACCUGAA